GUGACGUGAGAUGUGAAAAACAAUUUCAUUUCGAUCUUUUUUUUUUACUUUUGAUGUCAUGAUUACAAUAAAAGUUAUAUACACGUCACUUGUACACAUCAUAUUACGCGGUAUCAUACAUAAUAACAAACUUUAUGUAUUAUACUAGUGUUAAAGCAAUCACACGCAUAUAUUACAUUAUAUUAUAACUGAACUAGAAAUCAACAAGGAGACGGGUAAUUACCGAAUAGGGACAUCAGUCUCAUGGUUUUGUUUGGAGGGUGUCGACGCUGAAUAUCCCGGUUCAAAUUUCUGCAACGUUAUACAAGUUCAUGUCAUUUUCAGUUGGUGCAUCUAUGUCAUUUCAAAACAAAUUUGUUUUCAAAGCAACUAGGAUUUAUUACAAAUUAUUCAUUGUACUUCUGAUUUUAAGCACAUAAGAUAUUUUAUAACUUUAAGCUUAUUACAACUGUUUUAGUGUCCUACAUAUAAUGCCCAAUAUCAUUGGUCAUGAGGGUAGAAUAUUUUUCAAAUGAUAGAAAAUCAGAAAUACUUAAGUACAGAGCCGUUCCAACGUUUUUGGAGGCCCUAACCAAACUACAGAGGUAAGGCCCUUUGAAUGGGUAUAAAGAAAAUAUCGGUUCUACUUUUUUCCUUCUAAUUCUCACUCGCAAGCACAAUAUCAAAAUUCAAAGUAUCAUUUAGGAACUUAGGGAGAACAAUGAUUAAGUGAAUCGCAAUAUAUAGAGAUCACUAUAAAAAAUAGCCUUUAACCAACCUACAUUAUCCUUGCGACACCAUUAAUUUCAUGUCUAAUUUUUCCUCAAUCGACAACACAAUUGAGCAAAAUGGGCAAGUGCGAUGUUACAGUUAGUGAAAAUAAAGAUGGCGGCCUAAAUUAAAUACAAAUUGCAAAUCCGUUGGAGUUGGAAUUAAGCUCUUUUAUUUAAAAAUUGGUUAUUUAUUUGGGUCUAAUGCAUAAUACACAUGCUAUAUAAAGAUUUUUAAUAUAUUUGGAGGCCCUAGGCCGUUGCCUAGAUUUAGAAGCCUAUAGGGACGGCUCUGCUUAAGUAUAUAUUAAUAUUUCAUAUAUAUUUAUAUGAUUGUGUCCAUGCAAUUCACAUUUACUUCUAUAAUCAUUGUAAUAAAUUUCACGUUAUUAACUUUAUUAUUAUUUUUAUGAUUUGUCUCUGUGGUCCACUUAUUAUUAUUUUCUUUUGAAUACGGGUACCCGGAAUAUUUUCGAAAACAUGAAAAUUUUUAAGUGUAGUAACUAUUAAGCGAGUCAAACUUUUAUGCUUCAAGAUAUUUCUGUUGACUCAUGAGUAUAAGUUUACUUGCUUAUUUAUUAAUUACUGUAGGAUCAGUUUUACAAUUCAAAAGAGGGUUGUGACGCAGCUCGUUGUCCGUUUACCUGGCAUUUGUUUGUAAUUUGUUGAUUUGGC
rnacentral:lncRNA from 1 species